AUCUACUGCUGCCUCAGUAGUUUAGAACAACAGCGCAGAAGAAGGAGUAGCCGAGAAGCAGACAAGAUGAUUGUGUUUAUUGCAAAUAUCUUCCUCCUCUGUUUGUUGCAUGAGGCACAAAUGAAUGACAUCUCUCAGCCUGAGUCGCUACAAUUACUUAACCUUGGAGACACAGCUACUAUUAAAUGCUACAUAAACAGUAGAGU